AACGUACGCUGGCGGCACGCCUAACACAUGCAAGUCGAACGAAGUAGCAAUACUUAGUGGCAGACGGGUGAGUAACAUGUAGGUAUCUGCCCUUUGGCCUGGAAUAACACGAGGAAACUUGUGCUAAUACCGGAUAAGUCUUUACGGAGAAAGCUUUAUGCACCAUUGGAUGAGCCUGCACUUGAUUAGUUUGUUGGUGGGGUAAUGGCCUACCAAGACUGUGAUCAAUAACUGAUUUGAGAGGAUGAUCAGCCACAUUGGGACUGAGACACGGCCCAAACUCCUACGGGAGGCAGCAGUGGGGAAUCUUGCACAAUGGAGGAAACUCUGAUGCAGCGAUGCCGCGUGAGUGAAGAAGGCCCUUGGGUUGUAAAGCUCUUUCGUCGGGGAAGAAAAUGACUGUACCCGAAUAAGAAGGUCCGGCUAACUUCGUGCCAGCAGCCGCGGUAAUACGAAGGGACCUAGCGUAGUUCGGAAUUACUGGGCUUAAAGAGUUCGUAGGUGGUUGAAAAAGUUAGUGGUGAAAUCCCAGAGCUUAACUCUGGAACUGCCAUUAAAACUUUUCAGCUAGAGUAUGAUAGAGGAAAGCAGAAUUUCUAGUGUAGAGGUGAAAUUCGUAGAUAUUAGAAAGAAUACCAAUUGCGAAGGCAGCUUUCUGGAUCAUUACUGACACUGAGGAACGAAAGCAUGGGUAGCGAAGAGGAUUAGAUACCCUCGUAGUCCAUGCCGUAAACGAUGUGUGUUAGACGUUGGAAAUUUAUUUUCAGUGUCGCAGGGAAACCGAUAAACACACCGCCUGGGGAGUACGACCGCAAGGUUAAAACUCAAAUGAAUUGACGGGGACCCGCACAAGUAGUGGAGCAUGUGGUUUAAUUCGAAGAUACGCGCAGAACCUUACCAACACUUGACAUGUUCGUCGCGACUCUAAGAGAUUAGAGUUUUCGGUUCGGCCGGACGAAACACAGGUGCUGCAUGGCUGUCGUCAGCUCGUGUCGUGAGAUGUUGGGUUAAGUCCCGCAACGAGCGCAACCCUCACUUUUAGUUCCCAUCAUUAAGUUGGGCACUCUGAAAGAACUGCCAGUGAUAAGCUGGAGGAAGGUGGGGAUGACGUCAAGUCCUCAUGGCCCUUACGUGUUGGGCUACACACGUGCUACAAUGGUAUCUACAACAGGAAGCAAGACUGCGAAGUUAAGCAAAUCCCUAAAAGAUACCUCAGUUCGGAUUGCACUCUGCAACUCGAGUGCAUGAAGCUGGAAUUACUAGUAAUCGUGGAUCAGCGUGCCACGGUGAAUGCGUUCCCGGGUCU
rnacentral:rRNA from 1 species